rnacentral:rRNA from 1 species
AACGAACGCUGGCGGCAUGCCUAACACAUGCCAGUCGAACGAGACCUUCGGGUCUAGUGGCGCACGGGUGCGUAACGCGUGGGAACCUGCCCUUAGGUUCGGAAUAACUCUCCGAAAGGGGUGCUAAUACCGGAUAAUGUCUUCGGACCAAAGAUUUAUCGCCUUUGGAUGGGCCCGCGUUGGAUUAGCUAGUUGGUAGGGUAAAAGCCUACCAAGGCGACGAUACAUAGCUGGUCUGAGAGGAUGAUCAGCCACACUGGGACUGAGACACGGCCCAGACUCCUACGGGAGGCAGCAGUGGGGAAUAUUGGACAAUGGGCGAAAGCCUGAUCCAGCAAUGCCGCGUGAGUGAUGAAGGCCUUAGGGUUGUAAAGCUCUUUUACCCGGGAUGAUAAUGACAGUACCGGGAGAAUAAGCGCCGGCUAACUCCGUG